rnacentral:rRNA from 1 species
UGGGGAAUUUUGGACAAUGGGCGCAAGCCUGAUCCAGCAAUGCCGCGUGCAGGAUGAAGGCCUUCGGGUUGUAAACUGCUUUUGUACGGAACGAAACGGUUCUUUCUAAUACAGAGAGCUAAUGACGGUACCGUAAGAAUAAGCACCGGCUAACUACGUGCCAGCAGCCGCGGUAAUGCGUAGGGUGCGAGCGUUAAUCGGAAUUACUGGGCGUAAAGCGUGCGCAGGCGGUUUUGUAAGACAGGUGUGAAAACCCCGGGCUUAACCUGGGAACUGCAUUUGUGACUGCAAGGCUAGAGUACGGUAGAGGGGGAUGGAAUUCCGCGUGUAGCAGUGAAAUGCGUAGAUAUGCGGAGGAACACCGAUGGCGAAGGCAAUCCCCUGGACCUGUACUGACGCUCAUGCACGAAAGCGUGGGGAGCAAACAGGAUUAGAUACCCUGGUAGUCCACGCCCUAAACGAUGUCAACUGGUUGUUGGGUCUUUACUGACUCAGUAACGAAGCUAACGCGUGAAGUUGACCGCCUGSGGAGUACGGCCGCAAGGUUG